AGGAUAAACGCUGGCGGCGUGCUUAACACAUGCAAGUCGAGCGGAAAGGCCCUUCGGGGUACUCGAGCGGCGAACGGGUGAGUAACACGUGAGUAAUCUGCCCCUAGCUCUGGGAUAGCUCCGGGAAAACCGGGAUUAAUACCAGAUAUUACCACUUUAGACAUCUCUUGUGGUGGAAAGAAUUUCGGCUAGGGAUGAACUCGCGGCCUAUCAGCUUGUGGUGAGGUAACGGCUCACCAAGGCGACGACGGGUA
rnacentral:rRNA from 1 species